GUCUACAGCCAUGCUACCCUGAACAUGCCCGAUCCCAUCUGAUCUCGGAAGCUUAGCAGGGUCUGGCCUGGUUAGUGGUUGGAUGGGAGACCAUUUAGGAAGACCGGGCGCUGUAGGCA
rnacentral:rRNA from 1 species